UUCUGACCGUAAACGAUGCCAACUAGCGAUCCGCCGGUGGAUUCCUUGCCCUGGUGGGGAGCUUCCCGGAAACGAAAGUCUUCCGGUUCCGGGGGAAGUAUGGUUGCAAAGCUGAAACUUAAAGGAAUUGACGGAAGGGCACCACCAGGAGUGGAGCCUGCGGCUUAAUUUGACUCAACACGGGGAAACUCACCCGGCCCGGACACCGUAAGGAUUGACAGAUUGACAGCUCUUUCAUGAUUCGGUGGAUGGUGGUGCAUGGCCGUUCUUAGUUCGUGGAGCGAUUUGUCUGGUUUAUUCCGAUAACGAGCGAGACUCUAGCCUACUAACUAGUACACACAUUGCCUCACUGUGUGUGCAACUUCUUAGAGGGAUUUUCGGUGUACAGCCGCACGAAAUUGAGCAAUAACAGGUCUGUGAUGCCCUUAGAUGUCCGGGGCUGCACGCGCGCUACACUGGCAAAAUCAGCGUGCUUGUCCUUCCCCGAAAGGGGUUGGUAAACCCUUGAAAAUUUGCCGUGAUUGGGAUCGGAAAUUGCAAUUAUUUUCCGUGAACGAGGAAUUCCAAGUAAGUGCGAGUCAUCAACUCGCGUUG
rnacentral:rRNA from 1 species